AGAUUUGUUGUGCAAUGGUAGCAUGUUUGACUCUAGUUCAGAAGGUUGUGUGUUCGAUUCACGUCUAGUUCA
rnacentral:tRNA from 1 species